ensembl:snoRNA SNORD42 Small nucleolar RNA SNORD42
GUGCAAAUGAUGGAAAAGUCACCAUUUGGGAAAGAAUGACAUGAACAAAGGAACCACUGAUAUGC